rnacentral:lncRNA from 1 species
CAACCAAAUUAUUCUUAUCAAGGACCCUAACUAUGGAAUACACAUGAUAGAGACACAUAUCAAAGAUCAUUAAGUUCAAUGGAAAUCAUAAGCAUUGACGAGGCAUUCAUAACUAUGGGAUACGCAUGUUACUCUUGCCUAGGAUUUACUUAACACAAUCGUGACUAGCGACUUUCACUACUUAUGAAUAUAAGUUAAUAACGAUUAGGUGAAAUUCCCUUAUAUCCUAGCAUCGAGUUUAUGCAUGCAAAUUAAGUGUCGACCCUCAACCCACAUACAUAAACAAGUUAUCAAUCAAAUAGAUAAGUAAACCACAUUCACGAUUUAUGAAAUCAUAAUUGGAAGAAAUCAAAUC